rnacentral:lncRNA from 1 species
AGAAGAAAAUAAAAAAAAAAUCAAAUUAGGACAUGUUUGUCUUACUGAAACUGAACUUUGGAUUGAAGCAGACUUUGUGUUAAAGUGACGUUCAGUGAAAAUUACUUCUUUUCCGCUGUUUGUUUCGUAGUUGUAGAAGCGAAGUUUCAUUAAUUCUGCUGUUUGUUUGGUAGAAAGUGUAUGAUAUAAAACUAUAAUUUAUAUAUAAAUAAUAAAUAAUUUAAUAAAUAAAAUUAAUAUAAUUAUUUUUUUAAUACAUAAAUGAUAAUAAUACAACAAUAAAAUUAUGAAAGUAAAAAAAUUAUUAAUAUUUAAUUAAUCAAUUUCUAUCAUAUUUUAAUUGUGCAAACUAAAUAAAGGAAAUAUCAAAACUUAAUUAAUCAAUUUUUAUUAUAUUUUCAAUAUACCAACUGAAUAAAAGAGUAAUUAGUAUCAUAAUUAAAUAUAUUUAAAUAUAAUUAUUUUAUUAUUUUUUUUCACCUUUUUUUACCGUAAUUGACUUCGGCUCAUGAUGAGCUGAAAUCAAUUACGCCGUUUCAAGCUAACUCGAGUUUCAAUCAUAAUUUUUUUACGGCGAACUAAACAACAGAAGUGAUCGUUUAUGACGAAAACGACUCCUCCCCUCUCCACUUCCACCUCACUUCCACCCAAACAAACAUUAACUAUAGAUUAUUUUUAAGUGAUUAUUCAAAGUUUUUAAAUUUUAAUUUUAUUAUCUAAUUUUUUAAUUUAUUUGAUUUGGAUCAAUUAAUAUUAUUUUAAUUUCAAAUUUGAGUUAAUUACUUAUUGUAAUAAAUUAUAAUUGUAAGAAUUGUAUGGAAUAUAUUGGCUAUGAUAUUCAAAAUUCAAAGUUAAAAUGUUGUUAACUAACUUAAAGCAAAUAAAUUGAAAAGAUUGAGUACUAAAAUUAAAAUUUUGAAAGAUUAGAUAGUGAAAUUAAAGUGGUCUAUAUUUUAGAUAAGUUUUAUAUUUUUUUUUACCAAUUUAAUCUAGAAGCUCUAUCCUGGGAGAUAUCUUGAAAGCGAAGAAUCAAACCAAACAUUUGCAUAUUUACGAGAUAUCUAGUAGAAGAUUAUUUGAGGUGGAGUUUGGGAUGUAGCGCAGUUACUCACUUUAGUACCCUGUGGUUUAAAGUGUAUCAAGUUAAUUAGUAUCCUGUGGUAUAUUUUUCUCUUUUUAUUAUUCAUUUUACUAAUCCUUUUUCGUUAAAUUAGUGAGAAAGUUAAAAUUAAAAGAUACUAAAGUGAAUAUCGAUAAGCCUAGGUGGGGCAUAUAAUUUAACGAAAUAUUAACGGAGGAACUGACGGAAAAAAAAAAUCAUAGAAUACUAACUUAAUACACUUUAAACCAUAGGGUACUAAAGUAAGAAAAUGCAAAACCACAUGGGUGGUAUUUGAAGUUUAUCUUUUUUUUUAAUAUAUACUGGCAUAUUAAAUAUCUACAAGGACAGUAUUUUAAAUACUUGUCGCAGUAGGGGUUUUUUUAUAAAAUGACUCUCCAAAAAAUUGAAAUUGGCAAAAUGACACUGUGAAAAUUUUAUUUGUAAAACCAACCCUUCUUUCGCCACGUGGGUGCCAUGUCAGGGUUUGCUUACAAAGAUGGUGAAUCGUUCGCCGUUUGCUCUUAUUUCUUUUAAAGGCAGUGAAUCGUUUCCCGCUUUUACCCAUUCCUUUUAAAAGCGGUGAAUCGUUCCCCGCUAUGUCCCAUUUCUUUUAAAUGCGGCAAAUCGUUCACCGCAUUCAUUAAAAUUGUGUGUGAAUUAUAUAGGAAAUAGAAAAAAGUGAGGUUGUUAUAAUUAUAUGUGGAUCAUUAAAAUUUUUAUUUGAUUAUUAGGAUUGUAUGGAUAGAUUAUUAGGAUUUUCAGACUGUUAAGAUUAUAUGAAAUUAUAUGAAUAAAUUAUUAGGAUUUAAAGGUUGUUAAGAUUAUAUACGAUUUGUUAGAAUUUUUAUGUGGUUGUUAGGAUUAUAUAUGAGAUAUAGCUGGAAAGAAACAGUGAAUAAGUGAAAGGCGGUGAAUGAUUCACCGUCUUUAAAAGAAAUAGAAAAAAGCGGUGAACAAUUCACCCCUUUAAAAGAAAUGGAAGGAAGCGGUGAACGAUUCAUCGCCUUUAAAAGAAAUUCUUACGUGGCGCCGACGUGGCGAAAGAAGGAUUAGUUUUUCAAAUAAAAUUUUUAGAGGGUUAUUUCGCAAAUUUUAAAAUUUUAGAGGGUUGUUUUAUAAAAAAGUUCUCGCAGUA